AGUCUUUUGCAGUUCAUAAGCAUGAUGAUUGGGAUUUCACACUCCUGUGUGAAAUAUACCUUCCUCAAUCCUUGUUAUAACAUCAGCACAUUACCUAACAUGAAA
ensembl:snoRNA